CUAGAAUGCGAGUUCUUUUAGAAUCUAUGGGGUUUAUUUAACAGUUAAUCAUGACAGAAGCCCAAGUCUUGCGUUAUUCCUGCUGUUGAGGUUGAACAUCUUGGAUGUUCAUUCAAUCCUCAUCCUGAGAGCCAUCAGGAUGCCUUAGCUCGUGCUGUUGCAGAUGAAAUGCAGAAAAUUUACCAACAUGAAUUGGGGCCUCAGCCCAUCCCUUUAGUUGUCCCUGGUGAAGCUAUUGAUGAAUACGUUCGUACUUCAUCCCGAACUGGUCACUUGAAGUGGAAAUGAAUAUUGUCCCUCCAUAUUCAUGUGCUUUCACUUAUUUGCAUAUGAAGUUUUCAUGCACUUCCCUCUUAUAUGCGUCAGAAAUAUUUCCUUGAGGCAGAUGCGGAUGAUGGAACUGAUGAUGAUGAUGAUGAACAAAAUGAAAAUCAGGCCGAUGAUGGAGAUGUGGAUACAGAAAAGAGCUCUUAGAAAACCAAAAGGGUGACUCGGGUAGAAUUUAACCGGAGAGCUAGACGAAAGGAGCAGUUGAGAAUUGAAGCAGAAGCGAAAAAAGUGAAGGGACUUUCAAAAGACAUAGAUGCUCAUCAACCCAUUGUGAAAUCAAGGAUUGCAAAAAAGUUGCAGGGUAAAAGGACGCAGAUGCUCAUCAACCCAUGGAGCAUAGGAUGUAAACAAUAGGACUUGUUUCCUUCUUUCAUUUUCUUUCUUUUUAGGAAGACACUUCGAAUUAUAUGUUUA